rnacentral:rRNA from 1 species
AUGGGGGUCGCCUCUCCCUCGCCGCCGCCGCCCGCCGCCGCCGCCGCCAACCAAGCUCGGCCGCCGGAUCCACCAAUCCCCACCCCACCCCCUCCUCCAACAGAAGGAGGAGGAGGCAUGGCGGUCGCCCCUCCUUCGUCGCCGCCUCCCGCCGUCGCCGCCGCCGUUGCCGCCGGCAGCCCGAACCCGACCUCCACUGAGGGCCAAGGAAAGAUGCUGGUCGCCUCUCCUUCGUCGCCGUCGCCCGCCGCCGCCGGCAGCCAGCACCCGCCCUACCCCGAGAUGAUUAAGCAGGCGCUGACGGAGCUGGGAGGCACCUCCGGCCGCAUCGCCAUCGCCGCUUUCAUCCUCGGCCGCUUCAAGGCCGCCCACGACGAGCUCCUCAGGACCCACCUCCGCCGCCUCGUCUCCCAAGGCGUCGUCCGCGGCUACGGAUCAGAAGCCAGAGCUUGCUACGUCUUCCCCGCCUCCUACACCAAAACUCGCGGCCGGCCCCGCAAGCGCAAGCUGCUCCGCCUCCCCGCGCCGCCGACCCUCCCCCUCCCACUCCCCGCGCCGCCAACCAACGAGGAAAAUUUGGAUCUCAGUUUGGAUACAUCUGGAGGAUUACGGAGCAGACGUGGCCGGCCCCUCUUGCCGGCACUCCCUGCGCCCAAGAAUUUGUCAUCGGAUCUCAGUUUGGUUCCUCAUCAAUCUGGAGGGUCACAGAUUAGCAGUGAUGAUGAUGAUUACUCCACUUCCAGUGAUGAUGAUGAUGAUGAAGAUGAAGGUGAAGAUGACUACAGCAGUGGUGAUGACAACGAUGAUGAAUACACUCCUGCGCGUGCAUAUGCUUUGCUCGUCCAUGGAGCAAAGCGCCCACGGAAGCGCAAGCGCAAGAGGGGGCCAGAUCGUCGUCGUAAGCUUCUGCUGUCCGCGAAUUCCUCAGUCACCAAGAAAGGAAGUGGGAGGCCAAGGAAGAAGCAGAAACUUGGCUUGUCACAGGCUGCUUUCCAGAAUGGAACCCCAGGAGGUGGAGGUGGUUUCUCGACGCCCAAGAGAGGGCGUGGGAGGCCGCGAAAGGAUGCACAAGGGCUCUCAACCGGUGUCAAGAGAGGCCGUGGGAGACCCAGAAAGGAUGCACAAGGGCUGACAACCGGUGUCAAGAAAGGCCGUGGCAGACCCAGAAAGGAUGCACAAGGGCUGUCAAACGGUGUCAAGAAAGGCCAUGGCAGACCGAGAAAGGAGUCAGAAGGAAUGUCAGCGGGUGUCAAGAGUGGCCGUGGGAGGCCGAGAAAGGAGCCAGAAGAUGGUGUUCCAGAAGCAGACUCUUCUUCUGAAACUGAAUCAGACGCAGAGUCAGACUCUUCUCUAACUGGGUCAGACACAGAGUCAGACUCUCCAAAUGUAUCCAGGUGGUUGAAGGAAGGGUUUGGGAAUCCAGCAACAAUAGCGACGCCGACAGCAGCAGUCAGGCCUGUGUCGAGGGGGCUGAAUAUAGGGUCUCUGAGGCCAACAAUAGAGUCUCCUGGAACUGUUGUUUACUCUGCUGCCGCUGCGUCCACGGGAAUGAAGAAACCGCUUGGGAGGCCAAGAAAGAAGGGAUCAUCAAAAGCAGUGUCCGCCAAAACUGGAGAUGGAGCGCCUGCUGAGGCUGGAGGUGGUGCGUCCACGGGGAUCAAGAAACCGCGUGGGAGACCGAGAAAGGAGAGACCACCAGAAGCAAUGUCCACUGAAGCUGGAGAUGCAGCAGCGCCUGCUCCUGAAACUGGAAAUGCAGCAGCGCCUGCUUCUGAAACUGGAAAUGCAGCAGCGCCUGCUCCAGAAGCUGGAGAUGCAACUCCUGCUCUUGAAACCGGAGAUGCAACUCCUGCUCCGCCUGCUGAAACUGGAGCACCAGCACCUGCUCCUGAAGCUGGAGAUGCAGUGCCUGCCCCUGAAACUGGAGAUGUGACGCCUGCUUCUGAAACUAGAGAUGCAGCAGCAGCAUCUGCUCCUGAAACUGGAGAUGCGGCGCCUGCUUCUGAAACAGCAGCACCUGCUCCUGAAGUUGGAGAUGCACCGCCUGCUCCUGAUGAAAAUGGAGCAGCAACGCCUGCCAAAACUGGAGAUGGUGCGUCGACGGGAAUCAAGAAACCGCGUGGGAGGCCGAGAAAAGAGAGACCGCCAGAAGAAAUGUCUCCAGAAACUGGAGAUGCAAUGCCUGCUCCUGAAACUCGAGAUGCAGCGCCUGAUGAAAAUGAAGCAGCAACGCCUGCUGAAGCUGGAGAUGCUGCUUCAACUGGAUUCAAGAAACCGUGUGGGAGGCCGAGAAAGGAGAGACCACAAGCAUCAAUCCCUGCUGAAACUGAAGAUGCAACCCCUGCUGAGACUGGUGAUGCAAGGCCUGCUGAAACUGGAGCAGCAACGCCUGCUGAAGCUGGAGCAGCAACGCCCGCUGAAGCUGGAAAUGCUGCAUCGACAGGGAUCAAGAGACCGCUUGGAAGGCCUAGAAAGGUGAAGAAGCUUGGGAGGCCAAGAAAGGAGAAGCCAGAAGAAGCAGCAAUAUCUGGUGAAACUGGAGAUGAUGCUGCAGCAGCUAUAUUUGCUGAAUAUGGAGCAGCAACGCCCGGUGAAAAAGCUGGAGAUUCUGCAUCGGCGGGCAUCAAGAGAGGGCGCGGGAGGCCAAGGAAGGAGAGGCCGGAGACAGCGAUUUCUGCUGAAAGUGGAGACGCCAAAACAGAAACAAAAACGAAGAAGCCAAAAGUAGCAAGGCCAGCUGGAGAUGGUGAGAUCAAGAGAGGGCUCGGGAGGCCAAGAAAGGUGAAACGUGGGAGGCCAAAAAAGGAGAAUCCAGCAUCAGACGACGGCAUGUCAACGGGAAUUAAGGGACCGCUUGAGUCCCCGAGAUCAUAUUAUGCAUUGUCUGGUGGAGCUGGAAAAGCCGUGUCAACAGGAAGCAAGAUUGCGCCGGAGAGUCCAAGGACGGCGGAGAAGCCAUCGGCAGGCGACAUCGUGUCGAUGGUGAUGAAGAGGAGGCGUGCGAUGCCAAGGAGCGACCAACAGCCCUCUGAAGCUGGGCGCGUAAAAGCUUCUGGUGGGAUUUUUGGAUACGUGCGAGAAUCCAGUGGUAAACAAGAGAAGGAGAAGGAGGGCCUGGCAUCAUCUGGGGAGGGGGAGAAAACACAGAGCAAAGAAGGUGUGGUGGUGGCGGCUGCUUCAGGGGGUGGUGAGGAAACUGGGGUUGCUGCAGAUGCGCCGGUUUCUGCAGAGCAGGCAAAAGCGGGUGGUGCUGCUGUUGUUGUGGAAACCGGAGGUGUGACUGAAUCUUCUUCUGAUAAGCUGGGCUCUUCUGCUGCAGAGAAGGCGGCGAGUGCUCCUCCGCGUGUCGAGGCUGUAGGAGGUGCGACUGAAUCUUCUUCUGAGAAGCUGGGCUCUUCUGCUGCAGAGAAGGUAGCGAGUGCUCCUCAUCGGCAUGUCGAGGCUGUAGGAGGUGCAACUGACUCUUCUUCUGAGAAGCUGGGCUCUUCUGCUGCAGAGAAGGUAGCGAGUGCUCCUCCUCGGCAUGUCGAGGCUGUAGGAGACGCAACUGACUCUUCUAAUAAGAAUGGUUGUGCAGCAGCAGAAGCGAGUGGUACAGAGAAUGUGGAGAAGGUUGAAUCUGAUAAGAAACUGGGGAGCUCUGCAGCAGGGACUGCUCCUGUGGAGGGGGAGGGUGGAGAAGACAAGCUGGGAUCUGCAGAAAGAUGUGUGGUUAGUUGA